CUACGGGACGCAGCAGUGGGGGAUAUUGCACAAUGGGGGGAACCCUGAUGCAGCGACGCCGCGUGGGUGAAGAAGCGCCUCGGCGCGUAAAGCCCUGUCAGCAGGGAAGGAAAUGACGGUACCUGAAGAAGAAGCCCCGGCUAACUACGUGCCAGCAGCCGCGGUAAUACGUAGGGGGCAAGCGUUAUCCGGAUUUACUGGGUGUAAAGGGGGCGCAGACGGCGAUGCAAGCCAGGAGUGAAAGCCCGGGGCCCAACCCCGGGACUGCUCUUGGAACUGCGUGGCUGGAGUGCAGGAGGGGCAGG
rnacentral:rRNA from 1 species